rnacentral:lncRNA from 1 species
CUUUGGGGUGGGCACUGGGGGAUGGAUUUGACACUGACCAGAGCCAAGGAGCCACAGGCUGGGCUGAUAGCAGCUGGCAUGACCUUCUGAGAUACCACUGAGGGCCUGGCUCCCAAAAUAGUUUUAAUAGGUUGCAAAUUUUUGUCAUUGUUAAUUGCUUUGUUUAUAAUCCAAAUCUGCAGAGUCGUUUUGUUUUAAUGAAUCCAUUGUUGAACGGCAGCUAAAACAUUAGUCUGGUGUCAGAUUUCAUUGCCUCUGCCUGGGCUAUGGUGUAAAAAUGUAAAUAGCUAUUUCCUUGCUCCAGCCAAGGAGCAGUGGGAUCUGUGGAGCACAGCACUGUAGAACAAGAGCAAUCUUAGGUCUAAAAGACAGGAGCUGUGUCUCCCUCUUGCCUCCAUUAUAAACUUCUUUAGUCUUAGUGAGAUCAUUUGCACAGCUGAUCCCCAGGAUCACAAACCACGGAGGGGCCAUGAGACCAAUUCUCCUUGUGUCAGGCCCUCCAAGAGAAGGUGCUGCAGGAAAUGAGAGAGAUUGUUUUUAUUUUAUUGUGUCACUCAGCACCUAGCAUUGGAAAAAUCCUGCGGCUGCAGUUUUGCUCUCUGCAGAGCUUGAAUCUCUGGCAUGGGGAUGAAACAAAUUCCCAGAUAGAUGCAUAAUCUCCUGGGGAUGGGACUCACUAGGAUAGUAGUAGCUGGAAUAUAUGUUUGUUGUUUUAACCUGGUUGUUAAAGGUUGUUUUAACCUGUGCUGGUUCACCCACACAGCUGAGGACUGGAGAAGGCUCCAGUGCUGCAUGAACAGAGUCAUCAUCUGCAUUGCAGAGUCUUCAAAGGGAAGCAGCAGAGGAUGGACAGGGAGAUGUGAUUUCCUUGCUCUGCUUCUGAGCACCAGGAAUGGUGCAUGUCAGGCUGGAGGGGAACACCAGCAGGCUCAGUGUUGGGACUUGCCCUGAAACAGCUACAGAGGAGCUUCCCUGAGAUCCGACAGGAGCUUAUCUGUACUGCAGGCCUCCUCUGGAACGUCAAAGGAACAUCUCGAGUUCAGAAGCCCUUAAUGAACACAGCAGACCAAAUUCUGCUUCAGAAUAUGCAAGUGCGGCUCCUAUUGAAGUGAAUGGGCGCUCUGCCUGCGUCUGAGAUAAGGAUCUGGCUCGUAGCAAGGCUUAAAGGGGUAUGCACUGGCUUUUAAUGGACUGUCACCUACAACAGAAUGGAUUUUUAAGCUGUUUUCAGUUAUUUCUAAUGUUGCAACAGAUUAUCUUUUCUUGUUUUGAUGCUAUAUCUUCUGCAUAAUGGUUUAAUAAGGCAUAGAAAUGGAAAUAAAGCAAUCCAACCAGAGAGUUUAUUGUGGUUU